rnacentral:rRNA from 1 species
GACGAACGCUGGCGGCGUGCUUAACACAUGCAAGUCGAACGAUGAAGCCUAGCUUGCUGGGUGGAUUAGUGGCGAACGGGUGAGUAAUACGUGAGUAACCUACUUUAACUCUGGGAUAAGCCUGGGAAACUGGGUCUAAUACCGGAUACGACCAAUCUCCGCAUGGGGUGUUGGUGGAAAGCGUUAUGUAGUGGUUAUAGAUGGGCUCACGGCCUAUCAGCUUGUUGGUGAGGUAACGGCUCACCAAGGCGACGACGGGUAGCCGGCCUGAGAGGGUGACCGGCCACACUGGGACUGAGACACGGCCCAGACUCCUACGGGAGGCAGCAGUGGGGAAUAUUGCACAAUGGGCGCAAGCCUGAUGCAGCGACGCCGCGUGAGGGAUGACGGCCUUCGGGUUGUAAACCUCUGUUAGCAGGGAAGAAGAGAGAUUGACGGUACCUGCAGAGAAAGCGCCGGCUAACUACGUG